rnacentral:rRNA from 1 species
GUUUUCCCAGUCACGACGUUGUAAAACGACGGCCAGUGAAUUCGAGCUCGGUACCCGGGGAUCCGAUCAGGCCUAACACAUGCAAGUCGAGCGAGACCUUCGGGUCUAGCGGCGGACGGGUUAGUAACGCGUGGGAACGUGCCCAAAGGUACGGAAUAGCCUCGGGAAACUGAGAGUAAUACCGUAUGUGCCCUUCGGGGGAAAGAUUUAUCGCCUUUGGAUCGGCCCGCGUUGGAUUAGGUAGUUGGUGGGGUAAUGGCCUACCAAGCCGACGAUCCAUAGCUGGUUUGAGAGGAUGAUCAGCAACACUGGGACUGAGACACGGCCCAGACUCCUACGGGAGGCAGCAGUGGGGAAUCUUAGACAAUGGGGGAAACCCUGAUCUAGCCAUGCCGCGUGAGCGAUGAAGGCCUUAGGGUUGUAAAGCUCUUUCAGCUGGGAAGAUAAUGA